rnacentral:rRNA from 1 species
UCAGAACGUCGUGAGACAGUUCGGUCCCUAUCCGUCGCGGGCGUAGGAAAUUUGAGAGGAUCUGCUCCUAGUACGAGAGGACCAGAGUGGACUUACCGCUGGUGUACCAGUUGUCUUGCCAAAGGCAUCGCUGGGUAGCUAUGUAGGGAAGGGAUAAGCGCUGAAAGCAUCUAAGUGCGAAGCCCCCCUCAAGAUGAGAUUUCCCAUGAUUUUAUAUCAGUAAGAGCCCUGAGAGAUGAUCAGGUAGAUAGGUUAGAAGUGGAAGUGUAGUGAUACAUGAAGCGGACUAAUACUAAUAGCUCGAGGACUUAUCCGAA